UAGUGGCGAACGGGUGAGUAACACGUGGGCAAUCUGCCCUGCACUCUGGGACAAGCCCUGGAAACGGGGUCUAAUACCGGAUAUGACCAUCUUGGGCAUCCUUGAUGGUGUAAAGCUCCGGCGGUGCAGGAUGAGCCCGCGGCCUAUCAGCUUGUUGGUGAGGUAAUGGCUCACCAAGGCGACGACGGGUAGCCGGCCUGAGAGGGCGACCGGCCACACUGGGACUGAGACACGGCCCAGACUCCUACGGGAGGCAGCAGUGGGGAAUAUUGCACAAUGGGCGAAAGCCUGAUGCAGCGACGCCGCGUGAGGGAUGACGGCCUUCGGGUUGUAAACCUCUUUCAGCAGGGAAGAAGCGAAAGUGACGGUACCUGCAGAAGAAGCGCCGGCUAACUACGUGCCAGCAGCCGCGGUAAUACGUAGGGCGCAAGCGUUGUCCGGAAUUAUUGGGCGUAAAGAGCUCGUAGGCGGCUUGUCACGUCGGUUGUGAAAGCCCGGGGCUUAACCCCGGGUCUGCAGUCGAUACGGGCAGGCUAGAGUUCGGUAGGGGAGAUCGGAAUUCCU
rnacentral:rRNA from 1 species